rnacentral:rRNA from 1 species
GACGAACGCUGGCGGCGUGCCUAAUACAUGCAAGUCGAGCGAAGUUUUUCUGGUGCUUGCACUAGAAAAACUUAGCGGCGAACGUGUGAGUAACACGUAAAGAACCUGCCUCAUAGACUGGGACAACUAUUGGAAACGAUAGCUAAUACCGGAUAACAGUAUUUCUCGCAUGAGAGAUAUUUAAAAGUUGGUUAUGCUAACACUAUGAGAUGGCUUUGCGGUGCAUUAGCUAGUUGGUGGGGUAAAGGCCCACCAAGGCGACGAUGCAUAGCCGACCUGAGAGGGUGAUCGGCCACACUGGGACUGAGACACGGCCCAGACUCCUACGGGAGGCAGCAGUAGGGAAUCUUCCGCAAUGGGCGAAAGCCUGACGGAGCAACGCCGCGUGAGUGAAGAAGGAUUUCGGUUCGUAAAGCUCUGUUGUUAGGGAAGAAUGGAUAUGUAGUAACUAUACAUGUAAGAGACGGUACCUAACCAGAAAGCCACGGCUAACUACGUG